GACGAACGCUGGCGGCGUGCUUAACACAUGCAAGUCGAACGGAAAGGCCCUGCUUUUGUGGCUUGCUCGAGUGGCGAACGGGUGAGUAACACGUGUGUAACCCGCCCUUGACUGUGGGAUAACACCAGGGAAAUCGGGCUAAUAUAGCAUAGGAGCUCUUGCUGCAUGGUGGGGGAUGGAAAGUGUCGGCGGUUGGGGAUCGACUAGCUGGUUAUCAGCUUGUUGGUCGGGUAGUGGCUUACCAAGGCUGUGACGGGUAGCCGGCCUGAGAGGGUGACCGGCCACCAUGGGCCUACGGUACGGACCAGAAGGGUACCGGAGGCAGCAGUCGAGAACAUGACAGAACGAGCGGGCGUCUGAUGCAAAGGUGCUGCGUGCGGGAUGACGGGUUUCGAGUGAUAAACCGCUGUCGCCUGUGACGUAGCGUGAGUGACGGUACUUGGUAAGGAAGCAACGGCUAACUACGUG
rnacentral:rRNA from 1 species